rnacentral:rRNA from 1 species
GAUGAACGCUAGCGGGAGGCCUAACACAUGCAAGCCGAGCGGUAUUGUUUCUUCGGAAAUGAGAGAGCGGCGUACGGGUGCGGAACACGUGUGCAACCUGCCUUUAUCUGGGGGAUAGCCUUUCGAAAGGAAGAUUAAUACUCCAUAAUAUAUUGAACGGCAUCGUUUAAUAUUGAAAGCUCCGGCGGAUAGAGAUGGGCACGCGCAAGAUUAGCUAGUUGGUGAGGUAACGGCUCACCAAGGCGAUGAUCUUUAGGGGGCCUGAGAGGGUGAUCCCCCACACUGGUACUGAGACACGGACCAGACUCCUACGGGAGGCAGCAGUGAGGAAUAUUGGUCAAUGGGUGCAAGCCUGAACCAGCCAUCCCGCGUGAAGGACGACUGCCCUAUGGGUUGUAAACUUCUUUUGUAUAGGGAUAAACCUACCCUCGUGAGGGUAGCUGAAGGUACUAUACGAAUAAGCACCGGCUAACUCCGUGCCAGCAGCCGCGGUAAUACGGAGGGUGCAAGCGUUAUCCGGAUUUAUUGGGUUUAAAGGGUCCGUAGGCGGACUUAUAAGUCAGUGGUGAAAGCCUGUCGCUUAACGAUAGAACUGCCAUUGAUACUGUAAGUCUUGAGUAUAUUUGAGGUAGCUGGAAUAAGUAGUGUAGCGGUGAAAUGCAUAGAUAUUACUUAGAACACCAAUUGCGAAGGCAGGUUACCAAGAUAUAACUGACGCUGAGGGACGAAAGCGUGGGGAGCGAACAGGAUUAGAUACCCUGGUAGUCCACGCCGUAAACGAUGCUAACUCGUUUUUGGGCUUUAGGGUUCAGAGACCAAGCGAAAGUGACAAGUUAGCCACCUGGGGAGUACGCUCGCAAGAGUGAAACUCAAAGGAAUCGACGGGGGCCCGCACAAGCGGUGGAUUAUGUGGUUUAAUUCGAUGAUACGCGAGGAACCUUACCAAGACUUAAAUGGGAAUUGACAGCUUUAGAAAUAGAGCUUUCUUCGGACAAUUUUCAAGGUGCUGCAUGGUUGUCGUCAGCUCGUGCCGUGAGGUGUUAGGUUAAGUCCUGCAACGAGCGCAACCCCUGUCACUAGUUGCCAUCAUUCAGUUGGGGACUCUAGUGAGACUGCCUACGCAAGUAGAGAGGAAGGUGGGGAUGACGUCAAAUCAUCACGGCCCUUACGUCUUGGGCCACACACGUAAUACAAUGGCCGGUACAGAGGGCAGCUACACAGCGAUGUGAUGCAAAUCUCGAAAGCCGGUCUCAGUUCGGAUUGGAGUCUGCAACUCGACUCUAUGAAGCUGGAAUCGCUAGUAAUCGCGCAUCAGCCAUGGCGCGGUGAAUACGUUCCCGGGCCU